rnacentral:rRNA from 1 species
UAUGCAAAUGCGGAAAGCCUGAUCCAGCCAUGCCGCGUGAGUGAUGAAGGCCCUAGGGUUGUAAAGCUCUUUCAACGGUGAAGAUAAUGACGGUAACCGUAGAAGAAGCCCCGGCUAACUUCGUGCCAGCAGCCGCGGUAAUACGAAGGGGGCUAGCGUUGUUCGGAAUUACUGGGCGUAAAGCGCACGUAGGCGGAUUGUUAAGUUAGGGGUGAAAUCCCAGGGCUCAACCCUGGAACUGCCUUUAAUACUGGCAAUCUCGAGUCCGAGAGAGGUGAGUGGAAUUCCGAGUGUAGAGGUGAAAUUCGUAGAUAUUCGGAGGAACACCAGUGGCGAAGGCGGCUCACUGGCUCGGUA